AUUCCCCCACCCUCGUUCUGAACAGGCCGGCGCAGGUGGCGGCGGUGGAGAUCCUAGGAGAAGCUGGCGGCGAUGGGGGUCGGAGGAGAAGGGAUCUGGCAGGCGCUCCCGAACGGAGGUGAGGGCAGGCACUAGCGGAGGUCCGAAGAGAUGGGAGAUGGGAGAUGGGGGAGGUCGGAGGUGGAUGGAUAUGGGGGCUUGCGGCGGUGGAGGUCGGAGGAGAUGCGAGGAGGGUGGCGCUGGAUCGGGGAGGAUGUGGAGGAGGGCAACGACAAUGCCGGGAAGGUGGGAGGAGAGCGGCAGCGGUGGAGAAGACGGGUGGGGAAAAUUUUCUAUGAUUCCAACUCUUUCUUUGCCUCGCCGUACUUCAUCACGGCAAGGAAAGGCCAUGACUAUAAUAUUGGUACACCCUUUCACAUGCCAUCGAUCUGCCAUGAUUUCUCAAGAAUUCAAGUCAAUUGGACAUUGAAGCUCUUAGCAGAGCUAGCUGACUGAGUUGGUUCACUUCGGAAGGAGAGAGAGGGCACCUUCCACCCAUCAGAUGGCAACACGGCUAGGGCCUUUGACUCAAUGGCCAGGACAAUGGAUGGGCAGCUUCAAGGUAUGAUAUUUUUGCUCGCUCUUCAUGUGCUUACUUUUAUUCCUUCCCACUGUUUGUUUCGGGUUGAGAAAUGAAGGAUGCCAUGAUUUUUUUAUCUUAAGCUAACGACAUGAUCAUAAUGAUCAAGAAGGCAUGAAGUUUAUUUAUUUGAGUGGUAAGAGAAGGAUUCAUGUGAGGGGACAGAUUGUGGGGAGUUGUGCCUUCCCGGCCAGAUCAGGAUGUCAAAACCGGCAACCUCAUAAAUUCUGGGAGCACCUUUCUCUUUUGUCUUUGCAAUAGUACAGGCUCCUCAAGGAACAUAUUUGGUCGCAACGAUUCAUAAAUUUUAAUGGGUAUAUUAGGGGUUGCACUUAGAUCUGGAUUUACUAAUUUAUCUCUUUUUUUGAUUAUCUUUAUUUAUACUGGCUCAUACUUCCAUAUGGAUAUGAAACUAUUUACUCUUGUGUUAUCUGAAAUGAAAAUCUUCCCUUCAUAUGCAGGUUUACUACUAUUUUACAUUUUGUGUUCAUUCUUAUCCAGCCCAGAUGACCAAAUGGAUUUGAGGUAUCAUUCAUAUUAGGUUAGUGUGUCUCGUUAUUUGUGGCAAAUCACAAACAACCGAAUUGUAUAAAUAGAGUCCUAGCUAAUAACCUUAUUUUCCCGUCACUCAAGGCCGUUGUUAUUUUAUUUUGGCUGCAAUAAGGUGCCACUAUUAUUUAUUUGCAUUUUCUACUAAUAUUUUUCUCUAAAAAGAAUUUAUUGUUGCUUCUUGUCUACAAAAUUUGAUUUGAAUACAAUAUAAUUAUAGCUUAAGCCUUGAAAUAGUUUGCAUUUUCCCUCAGAUUUUCUUAUAAUCUUGACAUGUCCUACAUCAUUUUUGAACAUUUUGUUCUUACUAUACCAUGACAUCUCUAAUUGAAAGAGAUGCAUCCUUACUGAAUUCUUUAUGUGUGUUCUCUAAUAAAUUUAUGCAGCUUCUUAUGAUGGAAAAAUAGUGAAUCCAUUUCUUUGAAUUUGCAAUUUAGAAUACAAGAACAGAGAAGUAUAAAUUACUAUGCUCUGAAGUUCUUUGGAGAUCCAUUGUGGUCAUAUUUUGUGGUGUGAAUACGCAUAACUGUACGUUGAUCCGGUUUGCAGCUUACCUUUGUCACGCAGCCGAUGUACUGGGCGCCAACGCUGUUGGAGGCGAGGGCCAUCGUGGGACCAGGUUGAUUUUGAACCUGCCCAAGAGUGGAGCGCUACAAUAUUGGAAGCUGAUGAACAUCCAUCAGUGGUGAAGUGUACGGUAAUGAGAGCGUUAUAAACAAUCUCGUCUAUGUGAGCAUUUUAAUUUUGUCAUUUUAAUAAUGAAUGGAUCUGACUUAAUUAUUUGACAACCAAUUCAGACUAGAAUUGAUUCUGAUUAGAUCUGGAGGAGGAAUAUACACUUACCUAUAUCAGCUUAGACCAUUGUCCUAUGAGGCUGCUCAAACAGUGGCAGAGGGAAGCAGUAUACAUGGUAAAUUUCAGAUUACAUUGCGGACAAAUCUUCAUGAACCAGCCCAUCUGCUAACUCAUACCAUUCGUAGCACUAUAAUUAACUUCCUGGCCCCCUUUUUUUUUACUGUUUAUGUUGACCAUUUAAACCUGCUAACUACAUCGAUUUCAAGAGUCAAGACAGUUUUCUUGUUAAAAUUGAAAGUAAAAAAUGAUUGUCAAAUUCUCUAAUUGAACCUGACUUCCUUUUGGCAACCCACUCCAAACAAGGAUGGUGACCUGUCUUAUUUGUAGAAUGGCCAUUUAUUGUGUAAGAGUUCUUGGUUAGGAUUCAUCUAAAAUUUUGCAGCCUAAAAUACGUUGUCCGAAAUAGUCAGCUAAUACAAUUUAGUUAUUAUAAUGGAUUUUUUCACAAUUGCGGUGGAAGGGAAAAAUCUUAGUUCUUAGUUCUGUGAAGUUUAAGGAACUUUCCUUGUUGGGCGUGCUAGAUGGAGGUUAAUAAUGAUUGUGUUUAUUUCUACCGUUUUUUUUACUGUGUGGGAUCAUGUGGCAAAUCAAUCCAUAUAAGCACAAGAGGUGAAACCUUUACUAGGAGCUUGACUUGUGUGGAAUAGUCAAUAGAUAUCUGAAACUAAGCUCAGUGAAAGGAAGCAAACCGAUUUGCAUGGCAGAUGUGUGAGCCAGCAACUGCAAGAAGCGGAACUCAGCUGUUUAGCUUAAAGGUGAUGGCUAUCUAGAUUGGUUCAAAGAAUCAAAUUUAAUUCUAGGCAUGCUAACCCAACUGGAAAGCAAUUGGCUGGAAACUCGGUUUCUCUUACUAGCAAAGGCAUCUAUAUUUUGCCAGUUUUGCUUUUGUUCUGCAGUGUCAUAUGUGUAUCGGAAGGGUCAUAUGUGUAUCGGAAGAAAUAAGGUGGUGCUUUCUCUAUGCGUGUUGUAGAUGACCGUAUUCUGGAUUUGCUUUAUUGUGGAGUUACCAAGUGAUGUUAGGUCACUUGACUUUGAUUUUCUCCAAGCAAUAAUAUAAGGAUACUAGAGUUUGGUUUGCUAAA